CCCGCUGCGGGGAUGUGUGAUUGCCAUGGCGAGGCGGCUCUUCCCGGGGGCCUGGCUGAGGAAGCCCCAUUCCGCGCAGGUCCGUCUGUCGUACGUGCGGAUCAAGUAUCUCUUCAUCUCCUGGCUGGUGGUGUUUGUUGGCAGCUGGAUUAUGUAUGUUCAGUACUCCACCUACACAGAACUCUGCAGAGGCCAUGACUGCAGGAAAAUAAUAUGUGACAAAUACAAGACUGGUGUUAUUGAUGGAUCAGCAUGUAGUAGUCUUUGUGCUAAAGAAACAUUGUAUUUUGGAAAAUGUUUGUCAACAAAGCCCAAUAACCAGAUCUAUUUAGGAAUCUGGGGAAAUCUGCAAAGUGUUAUAAAAUGCCAGAUGGAGGAAGCUGCUCAACUUGAUUUUGGUACUGACCCAGAACCAAGGAAGGAAAUAGUCCUAUUUGAUAAACCAACAAGAGGAACCACUGUUGAGAAAUUCAAAGAAAUGGUAUAUGGUCUUUUUAAAGCAAAACUGGGUGAACAAGGGAAUCUUUCAGAACUGGUUAAUCUCAUCCUGUCUUUUGCUGAUGGAAACAAAGAUGGAAGAGUCUCUUUGCCAGAGGCAAAAUCUGCAUGGGCACUCCUGCAGCUGGAAGAGUUUCUGUUAAUGGUCAUCUUGCAGGAUAAAGAACAUACUCCCAAGCUGAUGGGUUUUUGUGGGGAUCUCUAUGUGACCGAAAGAGUUGAAUAUACCUCUCUCUAUGGAAUCAGCCUUCCGUGGAUCAUAGAACUUCUCAUUCCCUCUGGCUUCAGAAGAAGCAUGGACCAGUGGUUCACUCCAUCAUGGCCAAGAAAGGCAAAAAUAGCUAUAGGGCUUUUAGAAUUUGUAGAAGAUAUUUUCCACGGACCUUACGGAAACUUUCUUAUGUGUGAUACAAGUGCCAAAAACUUGGGAUAUAAUGAUAAAUAUGAUUUGAAAAUGAUGGACAUGAGAAAAAUAGUGCCAGAAAUUAAUUUGAAGGAAAUAAUUAAAGAUCGUCAGUGCGACUCAGAUUUGGACUGCGUUUAUGGUACAGACUGUAGAACAUUAUGUGACCAAAGCAAAAUGAGAUGUACCACUGAAGUAAUUCAGCCAAACUUAGCAAAAGCUUGUCAGCUCCUUAAAGACUAUCUGCUUCGUGGUGCUCCUUCUGAUAUCCAUGAAGAACUAGAGAAACAACUGUACUUGUGCAUUGCCCUUAAAGUCACAGCAAAUCAGAUGGAAAUGGAGCAUUCUUUAAUACUCAAUAACUUAAAAACUUUACUGUGGAAGAAAAUUUCUCAUACAAAUGAUUCGUAGCUUCUUCACCAGCAGAAGAGAAUAUUGAUGCCUGCCACUAGAGGUGGCCCAAGACAUUUGAUAAAAACAAUCUGCACCUUUUUAAAAAGAUAUUUCUUUACUCAGAUUUUAUUAAUGGUUCUUUCAGUCCUGCCCUUCAGUCAGUAACUCAGGACAGGGCUUGUCUAAGAAUGAACACGCCACUGAAUGACCCGGCACAGGCCAGAAGGCUGCCUGCUGUUCAGUGCUGUGUUACAGAAACAAGAACUCUGCAUGCUUGACUGUUCUGUGCACUUUGUCAGAUCUUGAACAGGAUGAAAGUGUUCACUGUGCCACCACAUCAGCUGAGGCAACAUCUUCCAUUUCUGUGAAAAACAUUGCCCACUUGUGAAAUACCUGCAGAGGAUUUCUUUCCUAAGUAGUUUUAUGAAGAAUCACCACUACUGCAAGUAAUGUGUCCAAGUCCAAGCUGCUGUUAUGAAAAACUGAACUGUGAGAUUGAAGUUUACUAAUACCUUGGCAUGGCAGAAUUUGCACAUUAAAUAAUUUUUAACUAUGGAAAAUUAGAAUUUUAUUCUAGAAUGGAUAGGUUGUAAUGAGACAAAUCAGAUUCUGUUUACACAUUGUUACCUCAUGCUUACAUCUUGAAUGUUUAAGUAAUUCAACUUUUUUAAUUAAGUCAUUGUAUGGUGAGCCCUGUGGGAGCCAACAGUUUUAGAGUACUAUUUCUUAAAGUCAUUUAUAUGGUUUAGCAGCAAUACCAGCCUCUGUUUGAAAACUUCAGUGGAAACCUCUAAUCCAAAUUAAGCUGUAGCAAACAGUGAAAAGCAAGGACUUUGUGGACUAAGCUAUAGUAUGAAAACUGAAUUUUUAAAAAUACUGAAUAGCAGACAUGUCCAACUAGUUAAAAAAGAAAGUUUGCAUAGUGCAGGAAUCUGCUGUAUGACAUGAGAAACAAUCAAUAGUUGUGGAUAGUCUUGCCUCUUAAUGCUCCCUCCACAUUUAGCUACAGACCUGUACUUCAGUCUUAACUACUGCAGGAAAUAUGUAAGCAAGAGCUAGACCUGAAUUUUAGGACAGAAGCUGGAUUGUUCAGGAUUGUGCAAUAUUGCUCAAAUGGGAGCCUAUGAGCUAUUUUCCAGCUCGCUCCUAGCUGUUACUAAGUGAGCUGCAGUGUGAUACUAUUCCUUUUUUCUAGUAGCAUCUAUGAGUCACUGUUAAGGCUCAAGUCAUGAGUAAAUAAACAUCACCUGAUCCUGGCACGCCACAAAGCAUGACCACUCUACCACCUUAAAUCUUCACCCUUGUAUUUUUCAGAUUUACAUCUGUAUUCAUAAUUAUGCAGAAUUGGAUGUCCAUAAUACACCUGAAUAUAGGCCAAUACUUACCUAUUGUAUGUUUAAUUUUUAAAUGCUUUAGGUAUAAAGUUGUUCAAUCUUUAUGAUUUUAAUGGCAGACAUCUGUAUACUUCUGAAUCCUGGACCCUUAAUUCAUUUUCAGCAGAGGUAAGAACAAGUUUUAAGUAUCUGAAAGGUUAACUGCUGUAGGGAUCCUGUCUUAAAUGCAUUCCUAGAAUGAUGAUACUGAAAUACAGGACCACAAUAAAGUAAUUUGUCCAUACCAGAUGUAAUAAUAUGCAGCUUGGGUUAAGAUUGUUUUGUGAACAUCAGUCUUUUAAUUUAAGAAAUACUGUGCUCAUGCUAAUUAUUGUCUUGAACUUGCUAACGUGCUCCAACUAUGAACUAAAAAGUAUUCAUAACCAGCAAUGCACUAAAAGUGUAAAGUGGUCAUGUUCUUGUGGAGAAAUCUGACAGUGACUGCUACUUGGGCAGAUAUUUAAAAUACCCAACAUCACUGGGUAUCUUAACUGGAGAAUAUGUUUAAUAGUGCAGUUUGUUGUACACAAUCUUCAUUUUUAUUACUGUUGCAUAAAGUUGAAGCUUUCAUUGGGAAAAAAAAAUACACUUUUGUUUACAAUAAAUCACAGGCCUCUUUUUUUCAAUAGCAGUAUUUACACCAACUACCAGUACCUUACAGCAAAACAUUCCUCCAUCUAGCCUGCUUUACUGGUGUUUAAACUGUGCAAACAGUUUGUCUGAGUCUAGUGUAAACCUACUGUAAGUAAGUGCCUGUGAAACAGGAGGCAAAGGAGCAGAGGACAAAACUGGUGGGGAACGCUUCUCUUCCAGGUGGCUCAGCCUGCAGAGGGAAACACAGACUGGGCUCUGGGAAGGAGCCACCCUUUAGGAUAAGGAGAUGAAAGCUGCUGAGUGGUGAGGUGGAGGGACACAGAGAGGGGAGGCAGGAGAAGACUGAGGAAUUCCACACUGGCAUCAGGGAGGGCAGGGAGUGUGAGGAUAUAAAAGCCAUGGGGUGCUCCUCAGAGGAACCAUCUCCAGUUGUUCCUGCACCAGGAAUAAACUACCUUGUGGGACCAGAUUUUCUGUGCUCUGCUAAGGGAACCCUAAGGGUGAACUGGAAGGGAACAUGGUCUGGCGAGUGUGUGGGGAGAGUCAAGGGGAAAGGCUCUGGUGUCUGAGUCUCAUAAUGUUUCCUUAACAAGGCUUCUGUACUUACUCCUGUAUAUGCAACUUGAAGUGAAUUCUCUUAUCAACUAAAUCACAUGGAGUAUUCAGCUCAAGACAGUACCUGAUUCAGCAGCAGCCAAGGCUUGGAGGUGGCAAGUGCCUGAAAGCCUAAGGUUACCUUUGGGCAGAGGCUUUAGAACCUACUGUGACUGCUCCUGGCCUUUUCCAAAGCUACAUCCAGACUCCCCCCAAACAAGAAGUAUGCUGAAAGAAUUGUGAAAUACAGAAGUAAUUCUGAUGCAGCAGCCUUGGUCUUUGAAGUCUGUCACCUCUCUUCUCUGUGAAAAUUCACACAGGACUUUGAGAGGGGAGAAA